UUCCACUGAUUGGCCGUAGGACGUCUUGCCAGCUGAUUACGAUUGGACUCAUCUACAGCUGCGUGGCAACUUGUUUGUGCAGCCACAAUUGAGGAGAGAGAAAAACUGAGAUCGGUUUUGGAUUCCGCACCCAAAAACGAGUUGAAAACAGCGGUCAGAGAUAACGGCACAAAAAUUGUGUAAGAAGCCAGAAGAAAGUCAUUUCCGGGAAAAUGCACAACAAUGGCGAAUGGAGGAAAAGGGGAAUUCUACCUGUGAACUUUCACAGUGGACGAUCAAUCGUGAAAAGACAGACACUAAGAACGAAAAUAUGGAAAACUGGUCUGUGACAUCAAAUGUGGAAAAGGUGAAGCCACGUGAAUGCCUUCCCGACGCGCCGUAUUCCUUGAAAUAUUUCAUCACUCUCAUUUCGAAAUACGGUCUCGAGGAGCACGCACCCAUGACAUCGUCGUCCCCCUCUUCCUCACAAAUGACCAUGCGCUCCUCGUCGCUGGUGACAUCCUCGCUCGCGCCGCCCUGGUGGUGGGAGUACGGCAGCAGCGGCCGGCUGCGGAAAAAACUGGACCUGUCCUCCUGAUCCAAAGAAAUGAAACUCGAUUAGGUUCAGCAGCUCCGACGCUCAAGGGCGCGACACGAUAUCAAUAUCAUGAGGUGCAUUUCUCCAAAUGGAAACACUUCUUUUUACAUCAUCUGCAAGGAAAAAAAGUGAUUUCUCAAUUUCAUUUCUAUUAUUUCUGAAAGCUGAUGCAAGUUGAGGCUGAAAAAAAAAAAACUUGGA